rnacentral:rRNA from 1 species
GAACCUGCGGAAGGAACACC